rnacentral:rRNA from 1 species
UACGUAGGGGGCGAGCGUUGUCCGGAUUUAUUGGGCGUAAAGAGCUCGUAGGCGGUUUGGUAAGUCGGAUGUGAAAUCUCCAGGCUCAACCUGGAGGGGUCAUUCGAGACUGCUAUGACUAGAGUUCGGUAGAGGAGUGUGGAAUUCCUGGUGGAGCGGUGGAAUGCGCAGAUAUCAGGAGGAACACCAACGGCGAAGGCAGCUCUCUGGGACGUUACUGACGCUGAGACGCGAAAGCGUGGGGAGCAAACAGG